GUGAGGAAUAUUGGUCAAUGGGCGAGAGCCUGAACCAGCCAAGUCGCGUGAAGGAAGAAGGAUCUAUGGUUCGUAAACUUCUUUUGCAGGGGAAUAAAGUGCGGGACGUGUCCUGUUUUGUAUGUACCCUGAGAAUAAGGAUCGGCUAACUCCGUGCCAGCAGCCGCGGUAAUACGGAGGAUCCGAGCGUUAUCCGGAUUUAUUGGGUUUAAAGGGUGCGUAGGUGGUUUGAUAAGUCAGCGGUGAAAGUUUGCAGCUUAACUGUAAAAAUGCCGUUGAAACUGUCGGACUUGAGUGUAAAUGAGGUAGGCGGAAUGCGUGGUGUAGCGGUGAAAUGCAUAGAUAUCACGCAGAACUCCGAUUGUGAAGGCAGCUUACUAAGCUACAACUGACACUGAAGCACGAAAGCGUGGGGAUCAAACAGGAUUAGAUACCCGGGUAGUCC
rnacentral:rRNA from 1 species